GAACCCUAGCCCCCUUUCUUCGUCCCCUCAAUCCCUAUAGCCGCUGCACCCCUCCCUCUCCCUUCUGUGCGUGCGCUCGACCAAGGACGUCGUCGUCGCCCUCGGCUGCUCCUCCACGCCGGGGUCUUCCUCCUCUUUCUCCUCGCCUUCCCAUCGGUUGCGCUCAGGUCGUCACCGUCGACGAAUAGGAUAGUGCGGGCCGCUUCCUCCUUUUCCUCCGGCCGGAUCUAUGGCGUGCGACCGCGGAGGCGAGCCUCUCCGGUGGCAGAGGCAAAGGGCGACCACAUGGAUCGAUCCCUGCAGGAGAUAGAAGAUGGGAGAGAGGGAAAGAAGGAAGGAGAGGAGGAAGACCCAGUGGCGGGCGGGAGAGGGUCACCAGCCGGCGCCGGCGAGGUCAAGUGCGACCUGAUGGUCGGCGGCGGCUCGAUCCACUCCUGGAUCUUUAUUGUUCCACUUCCCCACUACCUAACACCGAGCAAGAGGGCUGCCCGAGGAAGAGGGUGAGGACGCAGGGAUUGAAGAGGGUGUUCCCGCAUUCAUCGUCUGGCCAAGUGCAAGGACGAGGACGAGGACGCGGGGUGGAGCAUGUCAUCCCUCUGGUUAUCGCCUUCCUUUCUGCUGCUGGGCUGAGAUGAGGGUUUUCUCCAGCGAUUGUGGUGGCCUGAGUCAGAGAUCGACAGCCAGAUGCUUGUGGCUACCACACAAAACGUGCUCUCUUACUGACCUCGAGGUCCGGCCGCAAUUCCUCUUGUUUUUGCUCCAAGGUAUAGAAGAAGGACCUUUGCUUAAUGGUUGAUUUUCUUCUGCUCACGGCAGCUUGCUCGAGGCAAACAUGCAAGCCUGACGUGCACUGAUGGCGCUGCCGGCAGUAUCAAGGAUGGAAACAGCAAGACACUCUUUUAGGUCAGAGAAACUGGCGGUGCCAAUGAUAACGCCUGAACCUUCGUGACUGCAGCAGCCACCAUCAUGUUGUAGCUCAGCCAGACCACGACCAUCGAUAGGUGACCAUCUUCAUUGAGGUAAAAGGAAAAGAGAACAUUGGAGGAAAAGGCAAUAUGGCAGAUUCUCUAAGCUUUCUCAAAUGUUUGAAGGAAAAGAUAGUUACAAUUAUUUUUCUCUCGCCUUAUUACAUCUUGAUGUUAAUAGGCGUUGGAAGGUACUAUGGACCACAUUCAAGGUUUACCGAAUUUGCACAAUCCUAUUACAGUUUAUUUUGAUGAAAGAAUUGACCAGUUCUUCCUUGAGUAAAUUAGUAUUGCUGAUGCUACUCCUUUGUGCAUUGUUACAUAGAGUUAUAGUUGUGAAGGUGUGUACGAAUCAACAUAUAAUGCCCACCAUCCUAUUACAGUUUGUUUUGAUGACAAAUUGUGCAGCUCUUACUUGAGUAAAUUGUGCAGAUCUUCCUUGAGUAAAUUAGUAUUGUGGUUACUAAUCCUUUGUGCAUUUGGGUACAGCUCUACUGAAAUACUUCCUCCGUUCCUAAAUAUAAGUCUUUCUAGAGAUUACACUACAAACUACAUACGGAUGUAUAUAGACAUAUUUUAGAGUGUAGAUUCACUCAUUUUGCUCGGUAUAUAGUCCGUAAUAGAAUCUCUAAAAAGACUUAUAUUUAGGAACGGAGGGAGUACUUCAUAUGCCCAUUUUAAACCCAGACCUGACUUUAAAUCAUUUCUGUUCUCCUGAAUUUUAGUCCGCUUCAGCAAUGCUAUGACCUGCCACUCCAUGUAUACAUGAAAAACGACCACAGUUUUGCUGUUGUGUUUUGGUCAAUCAUCUGCGUUUCAAUUCCUACUGAUCUCUCAUCUAUUUGGCAAUUGAUGCCACCCGAAGGGCUGCCAACCCAAGACAACAUCGGUACUAUCCUUCAAUAAAGAAAAUACAUGCAUGCAGAGAAAUCUGAAAUAGUAGGAAAUGUGAAAUCUCACCAGUUGAUCUCUCGCCCAAAUGAGGAACCAUGGAAGAAAAGGGGAUAAACAUGCAUGAUGGAUGCAGUACGUGCUGCUUCAUAUUCUAUUAUGGACCGGCAACACAUAGAAUUAUUUGUGGACUGGGCUAGGUAGCAUAUGGGCCUUUCAAAUAACUAUGCCCUCAUAAAAGUUUGAUACAAACACUGCUAAAAAAUUACAUCUUUGACUGGUCUAUACAUCUUAUACAAAUAUAUUCUUUUUCAAACUCAGAUUUUUCAGCGUGAUAACCAUAUUUUCAACUAAAAAAUGCCAUCUAAACAGGUCUAUACAUUUUUAUACAAAUAUGAUUUUUUUUCAAACUCGGAUUUAUCAGUGUGAUAAACACAUCUUCAAUAUAGCAUGAUUUAACACAUGGGAUUUCUACUAUCAAUAUCGAAUAUGUCCUUACAAAAUGAAAUUAUUUUUAUCGACAACAUGGCUUUAGUGGGUCUCUGCGCUAUUUGGCGCAACGGGUCAACUAGUCUUUAUAAAGGAGUAGAUGGUGUUAUUAGACGUUGUGUACCUGAGCAUGAACAGGAACAGAUCCUACGCAAGUGCUAUUCCGAGGCUUAUGAAGGACACCAUGCUGGAGAUAGAACUGCACAUAAGGUAUUGCAAUCCGAUUUUUAUUGGCCUACUCUCUUCAAGGAUGCCCGUAAGUUUGUUGUCUUGUGAUGAAUGUCAAAGAAUUAGUAAUAUUAGUAGACGUCAAGAAAUGCCUAUGAAUUAUUCACUUGUUAUUGAACCAUUUGAUGUUUGGGGCUUUGAUUAUAUGAGACCUUUUCCUUCCUUUAAUGGGUAUACACAUAUUUUAGGUGUUGUUGAUUACGUUACUAAGUGGGUAGAAGCUAUUCUAACUAGUAGUGCUGAUCAUAACACCUCUAUUAAGAUGCUUAAAGAAGUUAUUUUUUUGAGGUUUGGAGUCCCUAGAUACUUAAUUACUGAUGGUGGUUCACAUUUUAUUCAUGGUGCUUUUUGUAAAAUGCUUGCUAAGUAUGAUUAAUCAUAGAAUUGCAUCUCCAUAUCAUCCACAGUCUAGUGGCCAAGUAGAACUUAGCAAUAGAGAGCUUAAAUUAACUUUGCAAAAGACUGUUAAUAGAUCUAGAAAGAAUUGGUUCAAGAAACUUGAUGAUGCAUUAUGGGCUUAUAGAUCUGCAUAUAAAAAUGCUAUGGGUAUGUCUCCAUAUAAAAUGGUUUUUGAUAAAGCAUGUCACUUACCUCUUGAACUAGAACAUAAGGCAUAUUGGGCUAUUAAAGAGCUCAACUAUGACUUUAAACUUGCCGGUGAGAAAAGACUUUUUGACAUUAGCUCACUUGAUGAAUGAAGAACCGAGGCCUACGAGAAUGCCAAAUUGUUUAAAGAAAAAGUUAAAAGAUGGCAUGAUAAAAGGAUACAAAAACGUGAGUUUAAUGUAGGUGAUUAUGUAUUAUUGUACAACUCUUGUUUAAGAUUUUUUGCAGGCAAACUCCUAUCUAAAUGGGAAGGCCCUUACAUCAUUGAGGAGGUCUACCGUUCCGGUGCCAUAAAAAUCAACAACUUCGAAGGCACAAAUUCGAGGGUGGUGAACGGUCAAAGAAUUAAACAUUAUAUCAGGUAAUCCUAUAAAUGUUGAAACUAAUGUUAUUGAAACCGUAACCCCGAAGGAAUUCAUAAGGGAGACUUUCUAGAAUGUUUCAGACUCCGAAAAGCAAUAGGUACGUGGUACGGUAAGCAAACCGACUCCAAAACAGUUCUAAUGGCAUUUUCUCCGUUUUGGAAUAUUUAAGAAAAUAGGAAAAUAAGAAGCAGACCGGAAAGGAUACGAGGCUUCCAUGAGGGUGGAGGGCGCGCCCUACCCCCCUGGGCGCGCCCCCUGCCUCAUGGGUACCUCGUGUGCUCUUCGGACUUCGUUUUCUUGCACGAUACUUCUUUUGGUCGGUAAAAAUUCAUUAUAUAAUUUCCCGAAGGUUUUGACCACCGUAUCACGCAAAUAUCUUCUGUUUUUGUUUUGAGCUGUUUUCUGCCAGGGUUGUCAAGGCCAAGCAUCAUGUCGUCUCCCUCCUCCUCCAACAAUUAGGGCAAGGAUGCUUGGCUAAUGAAGAUAGAGUUGAAGAGAGAAGAGCCCGGAGAGAUCAACAAGGAUGAUGGGAUCAAGAAGGCCAUGGGGGACCAAGUUCCGGCAGUAGCAGAAGAAGACAUCCUUCAACCUCACCACAAUCUCUUUACCCCAAUGGAGAUUGAGGCUUUCAAGAUGAUUGAGUUGGCUCGUAUUCAAAACACGUAUCUCACAAGUGAAAAUAUUUUGUUGAAGGAGCAUAUCAUCGCACUCAAGGGCAUUAUCCGCAAAUUGGAGGAUCUCCUACGCUCGAUGUGCGACUAUCCAUCAUCACCAACACCUUCUUCACCAACAAAGAAGAACUGAGUCUCGCGUAUGGGCACUCCCCUUGGCAACUGCCAAGCUUGGGGGAGUGCCCCGGUAUCGUAUCACCAUCACACUUUUAUCUUUACCGUUUUUCUUAGUUCGAUCAUUUUGAUAAUAUCUUGAUCUAGUAGAAUAAAGUUUUAUUAUGAUCUAGCUGUGAGUUUUGCUUUAUGAACCUUCUAUGUAAUCGAGUCCGUGAGCUAUAUAUAAUAAAGAUUAGUGUUGAGUCAGGGGCUUGAAUAUUUUGCUAUGAUCUUGAGGGAAUAGAAUAAAAUAAAAGAGAAGAAAUAAAAAGAAAUAAAGGGAUCAUGUGGAUCUUAUGGAGAGUAAUGAGCUCACAUAUACGGAGUAUGAUGAAUAAAAAUUGUUGAGAGUUGACAAACAUAGUUUUGGUCAUCGUUGCAAUUAAUAGGAAGUAAUAAAGAAAGAGAGGUUUUCACAUAUAAAUAUACUAUCUUGGACAUCUUUUAUGAUUGUGAGCACUCAUUAAAAUAUGAUUUGCUAAAGAGUUGACGUUGAACAAGGAAGACAAUGUAAUGGGUUAUGUUUUCUUACAUCUGAGAUAAAUUAUAUUGUCAUGGAUCAUCCAACAUGUUGAGCUUGCCUUUCCCUCUCAUGCUAGCCAAAUUCUUUGCACCAAGUAGAGAUACUACUUGUGCUUCCAAUUAUCUCUAAACCCAGUUUUGCCAUGAGAGUCCACCAUAUCUACCUAUAGAUUGAGUAAGAUCCUUCAAGUAAGUUGUCAUUGUUGCAAGCAAUAAGAAUUGCUCUCUAAAUAUGUAUGACUUAUUAGUGUGGAGAAAAUAAGCUUUAUAUGAUCUUGUGAUGUGGAAGAAAUAAAACUGACAGACUGCAUAAUAAAGGUCCAUAUCACAAGUGGCAAUAUAAAGUGACAUUCUUUUGCAUUAAGAUUUUGUGCAUCCAACUAUAAAAGCACAUGACAACCUCUGCUUCCCUCUGCGAAGGGCCUAUCUUUUAUUCUUGUCUAUUACUUCAUAUAAGAGUCACGGUGAUCUUCACCUUUCCUUUUUACAUUUUAUCCUUUAGCAAGCACAAUGUGUUGGAUAGAUUCUGAUAUAUAUGGCUAAUUGGAUGUGGGUUUUCAUGAACUAUUAUUGUUGACAUUACCCUUGAGGUAAAAGGUUGGAAGGCAAAAUUAUAAGCCUCUAUCUUUCUCUGUGUCCGAUUAAAACUUCAUAACCAUAAAUAUUGCUUGAGUGUUAGCAAUUAUGAAAGACAAAAAGAUGGUUGAGUAUGUGGACUUGCUGAGAAGCUCUUAUAUUGACUCUUUCCUAUGUUAUGAUAAAUUACAAUUGCUUCAAUGACUGAGAUUAUAGUUUGUUAGUUUUCAAUGAAGUUUCUGAUUCACACUUGAGUAUGUGAAUGAAUUGUUAAUUUAGCAUAGGAGAUCAUAUGAAAAAUAUAUAUAUAUAUAUGUUGCUGUUAUAACAAUGAUCAUGAGGCCCUCAUGUCCGUAUUUUAUUUUAUCGACACCUCUAUCUCUAAACAUGUGGACAUAUUUUUCGAUUUCGGCUUUCGCUUGAGGACAAGCGAGGUCUAAGCUUGGGGGAGUUGAUACGUCCAUUUUUCAUCAUGCUUCUAUAUCGAUAUUUAUUGCAUUAUGGGCUGUUAUUACACAUUAUGUCACAAUACUUAUGCCUUUUCUUUCUUAUUUUACAAGGUUUACAUGAAGAGGGGUAAUGCCGGCAGCUGAAAUUCUGUGUUGCAAAAGGUGCAAAUAUUAGAGACCUAUUCUACACAUCUCCAAAAGUCUUGAAACUCCACGGGAAUUAUUUUUAGAAUAUAUAGAAAAUAUUGGGCGAAAGAAGUACCAGAGGGGGGCCACCCACCGUCCACGAGGGUGGGGGCGGGCCCUACCCCCUGGGCGCGCCCCCUGCCUCGUGGGCCCCCAGGUGGCCCUCUGAUGCCCAUUUUUGGCUAUAUGGAGUCUUUCGUCGAGGAAAAAAUCAGAAGCAAGCUCACGGGAUGAAACUCCGCCGCCACGAGGCGGAACCUUGGCGGAACCAAUCUAGGGCUCCGGCGGAGCUGUUCUGCUGGGGAAACUUCCCUCCGGGAGGGGGAAAUCAUCACCAUCGUCAUCACCAACGAUCCUCUCAUCGGGAGGGGGUCAAUCUCCAUCAACAUCUUCACCAGCACCAUCUCAUCUCAAACCCUAGUUCAUCUCUUGUAUCCAAUCUUUGUAUCCAAACCUCAGAUUGGUACCUGUGGGUUGCUAGUAGUGUUGAUUACUCCUUGUAGUUGAUGCUAGUUGGUUUAUUUGGUGGAGGAUUAUAUAUUCAGAUCCAUUAUGCAUAUUAACACCCCUCUGAUUAUGAACAUGAAUAUGCUUUAUGAGUAGUUACGUUUGUUCCUGAGGACAUGGGAGAAGUCUUGC
rnacentral:rRNA from 1 species